GUAUGGCUGCUGUUCUGAAUAAGCGGCAUAAUGGGCAGUGGGUGUUUUUGAAAUUUGAUUUGGUGGCCAUGGAGUUUGUGUUGGGUAGGGACAAGGUGGAGUGUUCCACCAAGCCCAUUUUGGGUAGGUUUGAUUGGCGGACUGAUGUGUUAUAGCCCAAGGAGUCCCCGUAGAGUUUCCCCUAUAGCCGCGUCCUCUGCCGCUGCCACGUCUGCCUCAACCACGGCCUCUAUAAUUGGAGUGGUAAGAACUGUUGUGAGGCUGAUUGUUUUCAGGUUGUUGAGUUGCGGCCGGC
rnacentral:lncRNA from 1 species